GACGAACGCUGACGGCGUGCUUAACACAUGCAAGUCGAACGGAAAGGCCCUGCUUUUGUGGGGUGCUCGAGUGGCGAACGGGUGAGUAACACGUGAGUAACCUGCCCUUGACUUUGGGAUAACUUCAGGAAACUGGGGCUAAUACCGGAUAGGAGCUCCUGCUGCAUGGUGGGGGUUGGAAAGUUUCGGCGGUUGGGGAUGGACUCGCGGCUUAUCAGCUUGUUGGUGGGGUAGUGGCUUACCAAGGCUUUGACGGGUAGCCGGCCUGAGAGGGUGACCGGCGACAUGGGGACUGAGAUACGGCCCAGACUCCUACGGGAGGCAGAAGUGGGGAAUCUUGCACAAUGGGCGGAAGCCUGAUGCAGCAACGCCGCGGGCGGGAUGACGGCCUUCGGGUUGUAAACCGCUUUCGCCUGUGACGAAGCGUGAGUGACGGUAAUGGGUAAAGAAGCACCGGCUAACUACGUG
rnacentral:rRNA from 1 species